UACGAAGGGUGCAAGCGUUAGUCGGAAUUACUGGGCGUAAAGCGUGCGUAGGCGGUCUCUUAAGUCCGUUGUGAAAGCCCUGGGCUCAACCUGGGAACUGCAGUGGAUACUGAGAAGCUAGAGUGUGUCAGAGGAUGGUGGAAUUCCCGGUGUAGCGGUGAAAUGCGUAGAGAUCGGGAGGAAGGCCGGUGGCGAAGGCGGCGCUCUGGAACGUUUCUGACACUGAGGCUCGAAAGCGUGGGGAGCAAACAGG
rnacentral:rRNA from 1 species